AAAGUUUGUGAAGAAACUGAAAUAGUCUGUUCCAAUGGCCUUCAUGAAAAGGAAUGAAUGUAUAUCGUCUUUCCAUCCUUCUGGGAAGGCAAGUUAGCUUUUGUGUCAUGGUUGUCCAAGUCAAGUACAGACAACAGUGUUACUUCUGUGUUUGCAAGACAUUCUGGAAGACACUUUGGAAGAUUCACCUUCACAAGGAUUGGAAAUUGGAUAUCUUGGGCAGUAAUAAACCUGUGAGAACAGUCGAGGUUUGGAGAUCUGGACCGCCAUCAGAAACCACCAAAUUCUGUCAGGUUCUGCUGCCAGCUUACUUGAGUCAAGGGAAGAAAAUUCCUUUGUACCUACUGUGUAUGGUAUGCCACGUGUUGCCACAAAAAAGGAGCACUUUAGAGGAGGCAUUUCAGCAGUUGGGAAAGAUGGCACUGCAGAGAAAAGUUGGCCCUCUCAUUUUCCAGUGUGCACAGAACUACAGAGGCAGAACAUAAAUUGGAGAAGGACCAGAAACACAAUUGUCUCUUAUUCAAGAGGGAUCCCCCUUCCAUCACUUGGGUCCUCUCUUUUGCAGGGAGGUAUGAUCUAAAUCUCUGUCAG
rnacentral:lncRNA from 1 species